rnacentral:misc_RNA from 1 species
UCCGGUUUGUCACCGGCAGUCUCGUUAAAGUGCCCAACUAAAUGAUGGCAAUUAACGACAAGGGUUGCGCUCGUUGCGGGACUUAACCCAACAUCUCACGACACGAGCUGACGACAGCCAUGCAGCACCUGUGUACGCUGGUAUUGCUACCUCGUCAGGCUUUCACCCUUCUACUACGUACAUGUCAAGGCCAGGUAAGGUUCUUCGCGUUGCAUCGAAUUGAGCCACAUACUCCACCGCUUGUGCGGGUCCCCGUCAAUUCCUUUGAGUUUUAACCUUGCGGCCGUACUCCCCAGGCGGACAACUUAACGCGUUAGCUGCGACACUGGGAGGCUUACCCUCUCAACGCCUAGUUGUCAUCGUUUACGGCGUGGACUAC